UGGGGAAUAUUGCACAAUGGGCGCAAGCCUGAUGCAGCCAUGCCGCGUGUGUGAAGAAGGCCUUCGGGUUGUAAAGCACUUUCAGCGAGGAGGAAGGUGGUGAGCUUAAUACGCUCAUCAAUUGACGUUACUCGCAGAAGAAGCACCGGCUAACUCCGUGCCAGCAGCCGCGGUAAUACGGAGGGUGCAAGCGUUAAUCGGAAUUACUGGGCGUAAAGCGCACGCAGGCGGUUUGUUAAGUCAGAUGUGAAAAUCCCCGGGCUCAACCUGGGAACUGCAUUUGAAACUGGCAAGCUAGAGUCUCGUAGAGGGGGGCUAGAAUUCCAGGUGUAGCGGUGAAAUGCGUAGAGAUCUGGAGGAAUACCGGUGGCGAAGGCGGCCCCCUGGACGAAGACUGACGCUCAGGUGCGAAAGCGUGGGGCAGCAAACAGGAUUAGAUACCCUGGUAGUCCACGCUGU
rnacentral:rRNA from 1 species